AACGAACGCUGGCGGCAGGCUCAACACAUGCAAGUCGAACGGGUGCAGCAAUGCACCAGUGGCAGACGGGUGAGUAACACGUGGGAACCUUCCUAGGGGUACGGAACAACUCAGGGAAACUUGAGCUAAUACCGUAUACGUCCGUGAGGAGAAAGAUUUAUCGCCCUUAGACGGGCCCGCGUCGGAUUAGCUAGUUGGUGGGGUAACGGCCUACCAAGGCGACGAUCCGUAGCUGAUCUUAGAGGAUGAUCAGCCACACUGGGACUGAGACACGGCCCAGACUCCAACGGGAGGCAGCAGUGGGGAAUCUUGGACAAUGGGCGCAAGCUUGAUCCAGCCAUGCCGCGUGAGUGAAGAAGGUCUUCGGAUUGUAAAGCUCUUUUGCCAGGGACGAUAAUGACGGUACCUGGAGAAUAAGCCCCGGCAAACUUCGUGCCAGCAGCCGCAGUAAGAC
rnacentral:rRNA from 1 species